rnacentral:lncRNA from 1 species
UAGAAGGAAAACCCCGUCCAGAAAAGUGGAUUUCCCUGCUGUAGUAUGAGUUGAGAGGAUCAGACUUACGGGGGAACCUUCUCUAGUCUAGGAGCAUUUCCACUAUGUCUGUGUUCUUUCAAUGCCCCUUCCCAAAGCAAAGCAGGAAGAAACCUAUGGCGCAUUCUUCUCUUUCGAGAAAGCUUUGGUAUUGCGCCUUUCUGUGCUCCCUUUCGCCCUCUUUAUAUCCUUAGCUUUCCUG